AUUAGUGCAAUAUAUCCUGAAAGCCUAUCACUUUAGAAAUCUGUGUUUAUAGAUAGCAAAGAAAAGAUUUGAGGGUAGCAAAAUUGAGAAAGAAACAGGCACGUGGAGGGCUCAGGAUGAUGAACAUCUCUUUUUGACAGAUGAAGAGCUUCUCCCUCCCAGGAGCCAACGCUGUCCCUCUCCCAGUGGUUGUGCCAUGGAGACAACUCCUGGAGACGUGUCCUCUACCAAAUUGAUGCCACGCGACCAGCUCUUGGCGGGGCUGGACUGGAUGCAGAUCUUCUGAGUCUCAGCCGCACACUUUCUCCAACACCUCUGAACUUUGAGAUGAAUGAAAAAUACUGUAUGUACAUGAAACAGAAGCUCUAUUCUAGGUUAGCCCAUGGAUCCAAAUGGUUUGAUCGUGUGUGCACAUGCACGUGGGUUUUGGAAACCUUUAGCAGUCAGUGGCCUUUGCUCCUUUGGCUUCUGGAUGAGCCGCUUUGCUUUUAAAAUUCAGAUUGUGACUUUUCAGGAAAUACACAGAAAUGACCUCAACCAGGAAGUUCCUAAUUUGGGGACCUAUUGUUGAAAUGGUUCUUCGGUCUACAACUGUAGUGGGGAGAAAAAAAAAUCCAAAAUCCAGAUUCCUCCCUCUAGAAGGUGGAUUCCUAGCCUGAAGGUAUGUUUGCCUUGCUGGGAGGCUCAAUGAGUUGAUCCAGAGACUGUGGAAGGGAGAAUUGCAAAG
rnacentral:lncRNA from 1 species